GCCGAGGUAGCACAGUUGGUAGUGCAGCUGAUUCGUAAUCAGCAGGUCGGCGGUUCAAAUCCGCUCCUCGGCU
rnacentral:tRNA from 1 species